rnacentral:rRNA from 2 species
GAUGACCAUAGCAAGUCGGUCCCACCCCUUCCCAUCCCGAACAGGACCGUGAAACGACUUUGCGCCGAUGAUAGUGCUGCAACCAGUGUGAAAGUAGGUUAUCGUCAGGC